CGAACGGGUGAGUAACGCGUGAGGAACCUGCCUCAAAGAGGGGGACAACAGUUGGAAACGACUGCUAAUACCGCAUAAGCCCACGGGUCGGCAUCGAUCUGAGGGAAAAGGAGUGAUCCGCUUUGAGAUGGCCUCGCGUCCGAUUAGCUAGUUGGUGAGGUAACGGCCCACCAAGGCGACGAUCGGUAGCCGGACUGAGAGGUUGAACGGCCACAUUGGGACUGAGAUACGGCCCAG
rnacentral:rRNA from 1 species